GCAGAAUUUGAAUGACUCUUAAACAAAAUCAGGGACAAGACCGUUGUUAGUGAUCAUUACCCUCACUAUCUUAUUGAAUUUAGGAGCUAAACACACUUAAUCUCACUUUUCCCACCUCUUCAGCAAUUUUAGCAGAAUUUCACUAACUGCCUGUGUGCGUGCGCGCGCGCCAGCGCGUGCGCGGGUAGCUAACUGAAACAACAAAAAGAGAGAUCCUGGGUGAGAAGUCAGAUACAUAUGGGACAGGUCAGCUCCUAGAAGAUCCAUCAGUAGAUGCCAGGAGAAAAGAAGUGCAAGAGCCACCUCAAAGUUCUCUGAGUUCAGUGGGAGUGAAACGCAAACGAAGGAAAGCCAGCUCACACGGAAGCGUCCGCGCGAGGGCCACGCAAAGCAGCACGGGACGGAAGCGGGCAUCUCUGAGGACGCGGCGUCUCAAGGUUCCCACUGUCAAGACGGUCCGGGAGGAAAUGGCCUCGCUAGCCGCACUCCCAAAGUUGGCCCUCAAAUAUGAGAAUCCAAAUAUGACUUUAUUGUACAGAUGGGAGCAGGUGACGAGCAAAGAGGUGCUGUUGUAUUCUUGCCACGAAAAAGAAGAUUCAUCCUUCUCCUUUUGCUUAUAUAUUCAGCAGACCUUACAGCUCAAUAAAAAUGAGAUGUUUAAAUAUUUAAUAAACAUGCGUAGAGCUAAUGUAUUGCUAAAACUGAUGGAGUAGCCUGGCAGAUUCUCACGGAAACAUAAAGUAGCCUAUAUACAAAUGGAGCCGUUCAG
rnacentral:lncRNA from 1 species